UACGUAGGGGGCAAGCGUUGUCCGGAUUUAUUGGGCGUAAAGAGCGUGUAGGCGGCCAUACAGGUCAGCUGUGAAAACUCGAGGCUCAACCUCGAGACGUCGGUUGAAACCGUUUGGCUAGAGUCCGGAAGAGGAGAGUGAAAUUCCCGGUGUAGCGGUGAAAUGCGCAGAUAUCGGGAAGAACACCCGUGGCGAAGGCGGCUCUCUGGGACGGUACUGACGCUGAGACGCGAAAGCGUGGGGAGCGAACAGG
rnacentral:rRNA from 1 species